rnacentral:rRNA from 1 species
ACCUGGUUGAUCCUGCCAGUAGUCAUAUGCUUGUUUCAAGGACUAAGCCAUGCAAGUCUCAGAAUAAAUGGAUCACAGUGAGUCUGCAGACAGCUCAUUAAAUCAGCUAUAAUCUACGCCGAGAAACUGCCUCAUGGGAGACUAUUGGAUAACUUUGGUAACCCCAAAGCUAAUACAUGUCAGCAAAACCCGCACAGAUUCAACCUUGGGGCCUCGGUUGAGGGUGUGUCGGGUGGAAUUGACCGAAACAAAAACCAACGUUAGCAAUAGCAGGGUGAUUGGAUGACUCAGGUCAAUCGAGUAGUAGCGCAUACUUCGGUGGCGCUUGUCGGCACGAGUAUCUGCCUUAUCAGCUUUUGACGGUAGUGUAAUGGACUACCGUGGCUGUAACGGGUAACGGGGAAUUAGGGUUUGAUUCCGGAGAGGGAGCCUGAGAAACGGCUACCACAACUAAGGUUGGCAGCAGGCGCGCAAAUUGCCCAAUAGCAACACAUCGCUGAGGCAGCGAAGAGAAAUAGCAACUUCAUGCGGCCCUGCCGUGUGAAGAUUGCCAUGGACGAUAUCUAAACCUGUCGAUGAGUAUCAAUUGGUGGACAAGUCUGGUGCCAGCACCCGCGGUAAUUCCAGCACCAAUAGCGUAUAUUAAUGCUGCUGCUGUUAAAAAGCUCGUAGUUGGAUCAAGAGUCGGACAGUGCACGGUGGCCCUGUUUGCUUGCUUGGCUCCGGUCAGGUGGCGGCAGCGGAACUACCCCGUGCAUCAAACUGUCGCCUCUAACAGGCCGAAGCGGUUCCCUGUGAGUAGACUCCUUCAUUGGGGUUGAAAGCGCCUACGCAUCAACCACAUGCAUACGGGACGUCGGCCCAAGUUACUGUGAACAAACCAGCGUGUCCAAAGCAGGCCUUGCCUGAAUGUUCGAGCAUGAAUAACAAGGAUCGAUUUCUCGGUUCUUUUUGUUGUUUUAACCGAGAAGGAGUAAUCAGCCCACGGUGUUUGAGUGGUUUCCCUAGCUUGGUUUAGCCCCCAUCUAGCCCGUGCCCUUAGGGAUCAAUAGGACUGCGGGGUCGUACCUACUUCGCGUCAGAAGUGAAAUUCUUAGACGCGGGAAGAGGAACUUCUGCGAAACCAUUCGACAAGAAUGUCUUCAUUAAUCAAGAACGAGAGUGUGAGAUCGAAGAUGAUCAGAUCCCGUCGUAGUCCACACUGUAAACAAUCCCGUCUCAGGAUUGAGAAGUGAAAAGAAUGACUUUCCCACCACUAACCCCUGAAAGGAGAAAUCAAAGAUUAUGGGUUCAGGGGGGAGUACAUUCCCAAGGCUGAAACUUAA